rnacentral:rRNA from 2 species
UGGGGAAUAUUAGGCAAUGGGGGAAACCCUGACCUAGCAACGCCGCGUGAAGGAUGAAGGUUUUCGGAUUGUAAACUUCUUUUUUAAGGGACGAAUAAUGACGGUACCUUAAGAAUAAGCCACGGCUAACUACGUGCCAGCAGCCGCGGUAAUACGUAGGUGGCAAGCGUUGUCCGGAUUUACUGGGUGUAAAGGGCGUGUAGGCGGGAUGUCAAGUCAGAUGUGAAAUACCGCAGCUCAACUGCGGGGCUGCAUUUGAAACUGACGUUCUUGAGUGAUGGAGAGGCAAUUGGAAUUCCUAGUGUAGCGGUGAAAUGCGUAGAUAUUAGGAGGAACACCAGUGGCGAAGGCGGAUUGCUGGACAUUAACUGACGCUGAGGCGCGAAAGCGUGGGGAGCAAACAGG